rnacentral:rRNA from 1 species
AGUGAACGCUGGCGGUAGGCCUAACACAUGCAAGUCGAACGGCAGCACAGUAAGAGCUUGCUCUUACGGGUGGCGAGUGGCGGACGGGUGAGGAAUACAUCGGAAUCUACUUUUUCGUGGGGGAUAACGUAGGGAAACUUACGCUAAUACCGCAUACGACCUACGGGUGAAAGCAGGGGAUCUUCGGACCUUGCGCGAUUGAAUGAGCCGAUGUCGGAUUAGCUAGUUGGCGGGGUAAAGGCCCACCAAGACGACAAUCCGUAGCUGGUCUGAGAGGAUGAUCAGCCACACUGGAACUGAGACACGGUCCAGACUCCUACGGGAGGCAGCAGUGGGGAAUAUUGGACAAUGGGCGCAAGCCUGAUCCAGCCAUACCGCGUGGGUGAAGAAGGCCUUCGGGUUGUAAAGCCCUUUUGUUGGGAAAGAAAAGCAGCAGGUUAAUACCCCGCUGUUCUGACGGUACCCAAAGAAUAAGCACCGGCUAACUUCGUG